rnacentral:rRNA from 1 species
GACGAACGCUGGCGGCGUGCCUAACACAUGCAAGUCGAGCGAGGAACUUCGGUUCCUAGCGGCGGACGGGUGAGUAACACGUGGGUAACCCGGCUCAUAGAGGGGGAUAGCCUUCCGAAAGGGAGAUUAAUACCGCAUAAGAAGUGAGAAUCGCAUGGUUCUAGCUUUAAAGGAGUAAUCCGCUAUGAGAUGGGCCCGCGGCGCAUUAGCUAGUUGGUGAGGUAACGGCUCACCAAGGCGACGAUGCGUAGCCGACCUGAGAGGGUGAUCGGCCACAUUGGAACUGAGACACGGUCCAGACUCCUACGGGAGGCAGCAGUGGGGAAUAUUGCACAAUGGGCGAAAGCCUGAUGCAGCAACGCCGCGUGAGUGAUGACGGCCUUCGGGUUGUAAAGCUCUGUCUUUGGGGACGAUAAUGACGGUACCCAAGGAGGAAGCCACGGCUAACUACGUGCCAGCCGCCGCUGUAAAAC